rnacentral:rRNA from 1 species
CCUACGGGAGGCAGCAGUGGGGAAUAUUGCACAAUGGGGGAAACCCUGAUGCAGCGACGCCGCGUGAGUGAAGAAGUAAUUCGUUAUGUAAAGCUCUAUCAGCAGGGAAGAAAAUGACGGUACCUGAGUAAGAAGCCCCGGCUAACUACGUGCCAGCAGCCGCGGUAAUAAGUAGGGGGCAAGCGUUAUCCGGAUUUACUGGGUGUAAAGGGAGCGUAGACGGCAGUGCAAGUCCGGAGUGAAAGGCGGGGGCUCAACCCCCGGACUGCUCUUGAAACUGUACGGCUGGAGUGCAGGAGAGGUAAGUGGAAUUCGUAGUGUAGCGGUGAAAUGCGUAGAUAUUAGGAGGAACACCAGUGGCGAAGGCGGCUUACUGGACUGUAACUGACGUUGAGGCUCGAAAGCGUGGGGAGCAAACAGGAUUAGAUACCCCUGUAGUC